rnacentral:rRNA from 1 species
ACGAGCGGCGAACGGGUGAGUAACACGUGGGUGAUCUGCCCUGCACUCUGGGAUAAGCUUGGGAAACUGGGUCUAAUACCGGAUAUGACCACAUGCCGCAUGGUGUGUGGUGGAAAGAUUUAUCGGUGCAGGAUGGGCCCGCGGCCUAUCAGCUUGUUGGUGGGGUAAUGGCCUACCAAGGCGACGACGGGUAGCCGACCUGAGAGGGUGACCGGCCACACUGGGACUGAGACACGGCCCAGACUCCUACGGGAGGCAGCAGUGGGGAAUAUUGCACAAUGGGCGGAAGCCUGAUGCAGCGACGCCGCGUGAGGGAUGAAGGCCUUCGGGUUGUAAACCUCUUUCAGCAGGGACG